GCCUUCGUGGUGUAGUGAUCAACGCUUUCGGCGCGUAUUCGACAGGUCCGUGGUUCGAGUCCCGGCGAGGGCA
rnacentral:tRNA from 1 species